rnacentral:rRNA from 1 species
UACGUAGGCGGAAAUCUAAGUCAGUGGUGAAAUCCCAGAGCUCAACUCUGGAACUGCCAUUGAAACUGGUAUUCUUGAAUAUAGUUGAGGUAGGCGGAAUGUGUAAUGUAGCGGUGAAAUGCUUAGAUAUUACACAGAACACCGAUUGCGAAGGCAGCUUACUAAACUAUGAUUGACGCUGAUGCACGAAAGCGUGGGGAGCGAACAGGAUUAGAUACCCUGGUAGUCC